CCUACGGGGGGCAGCAGUAGGGAAUAUUGCUCAAUGGGGGAAACCCUGAAGCAGCAACGCCGCGUGGAGGAUGAAGGUUUUCGGAUUGUAAACUCCUUUUGUUAGAGAAGAUAAUGACGGUAUCUAACGAAUAAGCACCGGCUAACUCCGUGCCAGCAGCCGCGGUAAUACGGAGGGUGCAAGCGUUACUCGGAAUCACUGGGCGUAAAGAGCGCGUAGGCGGGAUAGCAAGUCAGAUGUGAAAUCCUAGGGCUUAACCAUAGAACUGCAUUUGAAACUGUUAUGCUAGAGUAUGGGAGAGGUAGGUGGAAUUCUUGGUGUAGGGGUGAAAUCCGUAGAGAUCAAGAGGAAUACUGAUUGCGAAGGCGGCCUGCUGGAACAAGACUGACGCUGAUGCGCGAAAGCGUGGGGAGCAAACAGGAUUAGAUACCCUUGUAGUC
rnacentral:rRNA from 1 species